UACGUAGGCAGCGAGCGUUGUUCGGAGUUACUGGGCGUAAAGGGUGUGUAGGCGGUUGUUUAAGUUUGGUGUGAAAUCUCCCGGCUUAACUGGGAGGGUGCAGCGGAAACUAGAGUGCUAGAGGGUGGGAGAGGUAAGCGGAAUUCCUGGUGUAGCGGUGAAAUGCGUAGAUAUCGGGAGGAACACCUGUGGCGAAAGCGGCGCACUGGACCAUAACUGACGCUGAGGCGCGAAAGCUAGGGGAGCAAACAGG
rnacentral:rRNA from 1 species